AGAGUUUGAUCCUGGCUCAGGAUGAACGCUAGCGGCAGGCCUAACACAUGCAAGUCGAGGGGCAGCACGGGUAGCAAUACUUGGUGGCGACCGGCGCACGGGUGAGUAACGCGUAUGCAACCUACCUUUAACUGGGACAUAGCCCGUCGAAAGGCGGAUUAAUUUCCCAUAAUACCACGAAAGGGCAUCUGAUUGUGGUUAAAGCUCCGGCGGUUAAAGAUGGGCAUGCGUGUCAUUAGCUAGUUGGUAAGGUAACGGCUUACCAAGGCUACGAUGACUAGGGGGUCUGAGAGGAUGAUCCCCCACACUGGAACUGAGACACGGUCCAGACUCCUACGGGAGGCAGCAGUGAGGAAUAUUGGUCAAUGGGGGCAACCCUGAACCAGCCAUGCCGCGUGAAGGAUGACUGCCCUAUGGGUUGUAAACUUCCUUUUCUAGGGACGAAACUGAGAUACGUGUAUCUUACUGACGGUACCUAAAGAAUAAGCAACGGCUAACUCCGUGCCAGCAGCCGCGGUAAUACGGAGGUUGCAAGCGUUAUCCGGAUUUAUUGGGUUUAAAGGGUGCGUAGGCGGGAACAUAAGUCAGUGGUGAAAACCUGCAGCUUAACUGUAGAACUGCCAUUGAUACUGUGUUUCUUGAGUAUAGUUGAGGUGGGCGGAAUGUGUAAUGUAGCGGUGAAAUGCUUAGAUAUUACACAGAACACCGAUUGCGUAGGCAGCUCACUAAACUAACACUGACGCUGAGGCACGAAAGCGUGGGGAUCAAACAGGAUUAGAUACCCUGGUAGUCCACGCCGUAAACGAUGAUUACUCGAUGUGUGCGAUACACCGUACGCGUCUAAGCGAAAGCAUUAAGUAAUCCACCUGGGGAGUACGUCGGCAACGAUGAAACUCAAAGGAAUUGACGGGGGCCCGCACAAGCGGAGGAACAUGUGGUUUAAUUCGAUGAUACGCGAGGAACCUUACCUGGGUUUGAACGUAAGUUGACCGUCCCGGAAACGGGAUUUCCCUUCGGGGCAAUUUACGAGGUGCUGCAUGGUUGUCGUCAGCUCGUGCCGUGAGGUGUCGGAUUAAGUUCCAUAACGAGCGCAACCCUUAUCAUUAGUUGCCAGCGGGUCAUGCCGGGGACUCUAAUGAAACUGCCGGUGUAAACCGUGAGGAAGGUGGGGAUGACGUCAAAUCAGCACGGCCCUUACAUCCAGGGCUACACACGUGUUACAAUGGCCAGUACAGCGGGCAGCUACUUCGCGAGAAGAUGCUAAUCUCGAAAACUGGUCUCAGUUCGGAUCGGAGUCUGUAACUCGACUCCGUGAAGCUGGAUUCGCUAGUAAUCGCGCAUCAGCCAUGGCGCGGUGAAUACGUUCCCGGGCCUUGUACACACCGCCCGUCAAGCCAUGGGAGCUGGGGGUACCUAAAGUACGUAACCGCAAGGAGCGUCCUAGGGUAAAACUGGUGACUGGGGCUAAGUCGUAACAAGGUA
rnacentral:rRNA from 1 species